rnacentral:rRNA from 1 species
CACGUAGGCACCAAGCGUUGUCCGGAUUUAUUGGGCGUAAAGAGCUCGUAGGCGGCUCGGUAAGUCGGGUGUGAAACCUCCAGGCUCAACCUGGAGACGCCACCUGAUACUGCUGUGGCUAGAGUCCGGUAGGGGAGCGUGGAAUUCCUGGUGUAGCGGUGAAAUGCGCAGAUAUCAGGAGGAACACCAGCGGCGAAGGCGGCGCUCUGGGCCGGAACUGACGCUGAGGAGCGAAAGCGUGGGUAGCAAACAGG